AAAGCUUAAACCAGUCAGUGUGACUACUCUGCGACGUAGACACCAUGUGACUGAUUCCUGAUCAGAGACAAAAACUGAUGAUGGCUUUGCGGAGAGUCUUACUCUGGAUACAGGAUAAGUGACAGAUCGACCCUGUGUGACCCUUCCGGAAGUUAAGGGUACUUCUCACCUGACUAUUGUGAGGCUCUCACUGAGAGAAGCCAAGUGAACUUGAAAGGUGAUCCUACACGUGAAACUUGGCUAUUUUUAACUUCUCAUGUUCAUGAGAGCCCUCUGUGUAAGAAUUAUAGAAUGAGUUGAUAGUUGCUCAUAGAUUAGUUAAUAGAUAUUUUUUUCAAAAAGGCAAGUGUUCAGCAAAGGAAGUUAAGGCAUCGACGUGGUUUUGUUACUUUGUUAUAUAUCUAACAUUUCUACCCUUAUAAAAUGAUAUUUGUAUACUGACUUUGAAUAUGUUCUGUUCUGGAAAUGUCUAACCUACAGUGAAAAACAAGCAAAAGAAAAUGGUCUCGAUGAAAACAUUUUUACAGUUUGUCAACUAACCUGCAAGCUGAUCGGUGAAGGAAUAGUAAAGAUAGUUUAUUGGUAGAGUGAUAAAAGGUAAAGUUGUAAGAAUAACGCAUGAAUGUAGUGCACACAUUGAUAGAAAUGUUUAAUGGUAGAUCUUUAGUUUCGUAGAAUAGUUUUGAAACUUGUUAAUUAUUUUCUGAUAAUUCCCUGUUGUUAUUGUUAAGGAGGAAACGUCGCACUUAAGUUCGUAUCAUCUAAUUUGUACCCUCUAACCUAUGUAUUACUCAGAAUAGUCCAUCAUGAAUAUUAAGUUUAAAAGUGCGUACUGUACUGUAGUCGAGAAAAUACGGCAUGCUCCAUGAAGCUGUGUGAGAAUUGAGAAUUGACCUCUAGCACUACCACCCGUGGAAUGCCAACCUCACUGUCUGUAGUGAUAACGCAAUAGAAUACAAGGUUUAGCAGCAUCUACUGUCUCCGUCUGAUUCCACUACAAGAUAUAAACAAAAUAUUAGAGUAUAUAACAGGGAUGUGACAAGUAACGCAACCUCUUGCACCACCCGUGGAAUGCCCACCUCACUGUCUGUAGUGCUAACGCAAUAGAAUACAAGGUUUAGCAGCAUCUACUGUCUCCGUCUGAUUCCACUUCAAGAUAUAAACAAAAUAUUAGAGUACGUAACAGGGAUGUGAGAAGUAACGCAACCUCUUGCACCACCCGUGGACUGCCCACCCCACUGUCUGUAGUGCUAACGCAAUAGAAUACAAGGUUUAGCAGCA